AUACACACACACACACCCUACCCUUCAGAUGAGGACAUCCUCACAAUCCUAAAAUACGGACGUUGGUUUUCGGCCGUUGGAUGAGAUCCAAUGGCUGUGAUUUUAAAAGCCAUCUCGCGGGUACAAACAAGGCAUGGGUCGGGUAAGGGAAAGCUCGCAGGUCAAGUUGUUCCGGUCAAGCAAAUGCGGGUUAUAAUCUCUCCUUUCCUGGAGUCGUUCAAACGAAGAGAGAAGAGGAGACGACAGACGACGAAACAAAGAAGACGACACGACGAAACAAAGAAGAGGACGACACCACCGAUGGGAAAAACUCCAGGAUGAUUUUGGAACUCGUGACAAGAUGGAGAUGAGUAAUUUGUGUAGGAGAGAGAGAGAGAGACUUGUGCAUGAGUGUAUAUAACUUGUGUAGCAGAAAGUCUACACACACAUACACUUUGUGUACAGAUUGUGCACAGAUUUUAUUGUGGGGCCCACCACGGGUCCCACACGAAUCAUCCGAGCCAUUCAUUAAAUGUAAAACACUUUUUCAAGGGACCUCAUAAAAAAUAAGCUCAAUCCGAUACCUAUAAGUGCUCGAUCCAACCACAUAACUUUUCAUUAACCGGAAAUCUGAAUGAAAAGUUAGAUGGUUGGAUGAAGCACCUAUAGGUAUUGGAUUGAGCCUAUUUUUUACGGGGACCUUUGAAAAACUGUUUUACAUUUAAUGAACGGCUCGGAUGAUUUGUGUGAGACCCGUGAUGGGCCCCACAAAAAAAUCUGUGCACAAUCUGUGCACAGACUGCUGUGUGUGUAGCACAUUUGGAACCAGUACUGGAUUUUUAUUGGCAAACAACAGUGUACAAGGGUAAGUAAUUCUAGUAGGAUUUGAAAUUAUGCUUUUCACAACCAAUGUAAGGAAGCUCUAGAGCUGUAUGGCAGAAUGGAGGCCUCGAAUUCAAAAGGCACCCGGGAGUCAUUUGCGAGAUGGGGGAUCUUUGAGUCGCAGGAUGGGAUUGGAGUAUGACUCCAAGCAAUUCAGUUUCUUGUUUGUAGCAUUCACUUCCACCCGAUUGGUAACGGCAGUAGUAGUCAAAGUGUGGAGAGGCGGUUAGAUUUUGGUUAUAAAUAAUAAUGAAUUUUUGGGGUU